rnacentral:rRNA from 1 species
UGGUUGGACGAGGUAAUAGCUGUCUUUAUUUAAUAUAUAUUAGAAUUUAACUUUUAAGUCAAAAGGCUUAAAUUUAAUUGAUAGACGAGAAGACCCUAUAGAUCUUUAUUUAUAAAGUUAUGAGUUGGAUUUGGAUUAAUUUAAAGUUUGUAACUCUAUGAAUUUUAUUGGGGUAAUAUAAAGAUUAAAAAAAUUCUUUGAAUAGAUUUAACAAUGAUUAUUGACAAAUUGAUCCAUUACUAUUGAUUAGAAGAUUAAGUUAC